rnacentral:rRNA from 1 species
UACGGAGGAUGCAAGCGUUAUCCGGAAUGAUUGGGCGUAAAGCGUCCGCAGGUGGCUGUGUAAGUCUGCUGUUAAAGAGUCUAGCUCAACUAGAUAAAAGCAGUGGAAACUACACGGCUAGAGUACGUUCGGGGCAGAGGGAAUUCCUGGUGGAGCGGUGAAAUGCGUUGAGAUCCACAGGAACUCCGGUGGCGAAGGCGGCCUGCUGGACCCCAUCUGACGCUGAGGCGCGAAAGCCAGGGGAGCGAACGGG